rnacentral:lncRNA from 1 species
UAUAGGGAAACUCAUAGUAGUGUAUUAUAUAGUGUACUAUAUAGUGAAACUCAUAGUAGUGUAUUAUAUAGUGAAACCCAUAGUAGUGUACUAUAUAGGGAAACCCAUAGUAGUGUAUUAUAUGGUGUACUAUAUAGGGAAACCCAUAGUAGUGUAUUAUAUAGGGAAACCCAUAGUAUUGUAUUAUAUAGGGAAACCCAUAAUAGUGUAUUAUAUAGUGUAUUAUAUAGGGAAACCCAUAGUAGUGUAUUUUAUAGUGUAUUAUAUAGGGAAACCCAUAGUAGUGUAUUAUAUAGUGAAACUCAUAGUAGUGUAUUAUAUAGUGUACUAUAUAGUGAAACUCAUAGUAGUGUAUUAUAUAGUGAAACCCAUAGUAGUGUAUUAUAUAGUGUACUAUAUAGUGAAACUCAUAGUAGUGUAUUAUAUAGUGUACUAUAUAGGGAAACUCAUAGUAGUGUAUUAUAUAGUGAAACCCAUAGUAGUGUACUAUAUAGUGUACUAUAUAGGGAAACUCAUAGUAGUGUAUUAUAUAGUGUACUAUAUAGUGAAACUCAUAGUAGUGUAUUAUAUAGUGAAACCCAUAGUAGUGUACUAUAUAGGGAAACCCAUAGUAGUGUAUUAUAUGGUGUACUAUAUAGGGAAACCCAUAGUAUUGUAUUAUAUAGGGAUACCCAUAAUAGUGUAUUAUAUAGGGAAACCCAUAGUAGUAUAUUAUAUAGUGUAUUAUAUAGGGAAACCCAUAGUAGUGUAUUAUAUAGGGAAACCCAUAAUAGUGUAUUAUAUAGUGUACUAUAUAGUGAAACUCAUAGUAGUGUAUUAUAUAGUGUACUAUAUAGUGAAACUCAUAGUAGUGUAUUAUAUAGUGUACUAUAUAGGGAAACCCAUAGUAGUGUAUUAUAUAGUGUACUAUAUAGGGAAACCCAUAGUAGUGUAUUAUAUAGGGAAACCCAUAGUAGUGUACUAUAUAGUGAAACCCAUAGUAGUGUAUUAUAUAUUGAACAUGAUACCAGUCUCUCUUUGGUUGUGGUGA